AAAAAAAAAAAAGAUACAGAAUAAACAUGUGGAAAACCAUAAAAAUGGAGGGUGAAUGUUAAAAAAAAAAACACAAAACAAACUUUAAAUUCAUUACUCAACAUUAAACAUCUAGUGAUGCUUAAUGAUGUUAAAAGAUUCCCUUGUGCCAGGCGUGGUGGCUCAUGCGUGUAGUCGCAGCACUUUGGGAGGCCAAGGCAGGUGGAUCACCUGAGGUCAGGAGCUCAAGACCAGCCUGGCCAACAUGGAGAAAUCCUAUCUUAAAAAAAAAAAGAUUCCCUUGUGUGUAAGUAGCUCACAACCGUGUAGGGCAUAUAUAACAUGUAUAUAUACAGUAUGUGUGUGUCUAUAAAUGUGUAACAUACAUAAAAACUAAAUUAACCAGGUAUCAUUUUUUUAAAAGCUUAAGGGUGAGGAUGAAGAGAGAUGAUAAACUCUCGGGUGUUUGAAGGUGCAAGGGCUUGCUAAAUGUGCUCAAGCUUACAGAGCAGAACAACUGUGGAACUGAGAUCAGGCCAGACUUGACCCCUGACUGAGCACAGGAAGCCCAGCUGAAUGCCAGAAGACCAUGGGGCACUACUGAAAAUGCACUAGGAUGGCAGGAGUGGCUCUGGCUUUGGAGAAGAUAGAAAAAUCUGGUUUGGGGCAAACCAUUUUGAAAAGUGAGCACAUACUAAAUGGCCGCACCUAACAGCUAACUGAUGACGUAAUUCUGGAGCAAAGAUACACCAAAGGCCACCAGCUUGUUCAACUCACUCGUGCGUCACACCCCCACCAGUGGCUUAAUACUCUAGACUUUUCAAUAAUUAACUGAACAGCCCUGAUAUUCCCGCGUCCUACCAGACGUAGUAGUCCCUUCCACAGGACUUAAGCACUUGUUACCUUGUCAUCCCAUGCAAUGAAAUCACCAGGGGGCAGCGCAGCGGGGCCAUGUGACUUUACUCAAGCUAGCACUGAUGAAGUGUCCACUGUGUGACAGUCACUUGAGACACAAGGGUGACUAAGACAAAUAAACCACAGAGUACACACCAC